rnacentral:lncRNA from 1 species
GGGCGCGCAUAUAAGGGCGCGGGCUCGCCCCAGCCGGCAUUCGGCAGCGACCGCAGCGCAGACCGGAUCCCUCUCCUCUCUCCAGCUCGCUCGUGCGCCGCGCUCCGCGAUUGAACAGGAGAAGCAAGCAGGCGAAUCGUAAUGAGGCGUGCGCCGCCAAUAUGCACUGUACAUUCCACAAGCAUUGCCUUCUUAUUUUACUUCUUUUAGCUGUUUAACUUUGUAAGAUGCAAAGCGGUUGGAUCAAGUUUAAAAAACCAAGCUGGCCCAAGCGUGAGUCAGAGUCACACUUAACCCAAGCAUCCAUCCCCCACCUCCUGACGUCGCAGGGCUCCAUGACCUUGCCUCCCUCCACCUGGCUUCCACUCGUCAGUCUCCUCGCGUGGAUUUGGGACUUCCUUCUCCCCCACGCCCUGCUGCGUACCCCAGGCCUGAAUCCACCCCAAGAGCCUGUGUUUACCGUCCCUUCAUCCAGGCCCCCACGUGCUGCCAAGUACAGUGACACACUUUCCCUGGUGGUUAACCACUCAGCUUGGCACCUGCCUCCGAUCCGCUCCCUUUUAGCUGUGCAACCUUGCCUAAGCUUCCUAACUUCUCUGAGCUUUGCUUUUUCUCCCCUGCAACGUGGGGGACGGGAGGGUCCUAACCCAGGGGCUCGCUGUGAGGGCUGAAAGGAAUCUGUGCCCCUUGCUCCUUCUAGGUGCUCAGUGCCUGGUCGCUUUUAUAACUGGGACAGAACCAUAGGACGAGGAUCAGGCUCGGGAAAUUGAGCAUCAGGGCUCAUAUUAGCUGAUACAAAGUCCUACUUAGAUUUUUGCCAGUUGUUCUAUUAAUGUCUUUUAUAGCAUUUUCUUCCUCCUCCUGGGGCACCCAAUCCAGGCUCACGCAUUGCAGUCGCUCGCCAUGUCUCUGUAAUGUGCGACAGCCCUCCUUCAUAUUUUCGAGGGAUACAGACCAGCUGGUUUGUAGAAUUUCUCUCAAUUUGGUCGUGCCUGAUGUUUCUUCACGGUUAGAAGCAGGUAAUUUGGGGGUAGGAAGCCCCCAUAAGGGACGAUGUGUCCUAGGUGACUCACAGAGGAGGCGCAUGAUGUCAACUUGUCCCAUCGACUGACGAUGCCGGUGAUUGCUUGUUGACAGGGUUGCCACCAGAUUUCUGCAGUGUCAAACUGUCCUUUUCCCUUUGUAAUUAGUAAGUAACCCGUGGAGAGACACCUUAGGACUCAAGUCUCCUGUUGCUUGUCAAACUGGCACCAAACAGCUUUGGCAUGUAUUGAUCACUCUUGCCUGAAUCAGUGAUUUCUGUGAUGUCAGCCAAAGUGAAUUUCCAACUCUUCUCUAUUCCUUCUAGUGUGACUUAUCAUACUUGAGUCCUACCUUCUACAUAGAAACCAAUGAAUGCAAUUUCAAAAUGUAUAUGCUAACAACAUGAAAAAUAAAAGCAGCUUAUACACGUAGGCCUGUGGGCUUGUUCUGCUCAACUCGUCUCAACCUUAUACAGGUGCCGUGUCUUAAGGAAUCUUUCCGCAGGCCCUUUCAAGAUAUGGCUGAUGCAGGCAGCCCUGUGCCAUCAUUCCACCCCAAAGAGUCUGCUCAGAGCUUGUCUGCAAUCAGUCCUCUCAUGUGACAAGGCUGUGAUUUUUAAAAAAAUAUUUUAUUUAUUUUUUCAUGGGAGACACACACACAGAGAGGCAGAGAACACAGGCAGAGGGAAAAACAGGCUCCCUGCGGGGAGCCCGAUGCGGGACUCAGAUCCCAGGACCCCGGGAUCACACCCUGAGCCCAAGGCAGAUGCUCAACCACUGAGCCACCUGGGCAUCCCAAGGCUGUGAUUUGAAAAAGGGAUACAGAUGCCUGGGUGUAAGUCAUUUCCAUUCAGUUCAAAUCAGAUCUCUAAUGUUAACUUGGAUCUACCAAAGCUAUUACUCAGGAUCUGGAGGAGAAGGUGCUGGUUAUCCUGCGUGGCUCUAGCAGAGGCUUGAGGGGUGGUAGGGGCACAUCCUUUUCAGGUUCCUGAUAGACAGUGGAUGCUUGCAUUAUAAAGGACAGCUGGACCCAGCUGGAAUAAACUCUUUCUCUAGGAACCAAGAAGUGGCCUCCGGUUUGUGAGUUUGACUUUGGGUCAGGUGCCUGUGUUUCAACAAACCUUAAACAAACAUCACCUGUUCCACUGGUCAAACACCUUCCCAAUACCAGCGUGAGAGGAAUAAACGGCAGGAGAGCUUCAAGGAUGUCUGGCUCUCUUCCAUCAUCUACUUGGAAAGAAUGCCUUCACCCCAAUACUGCUGUUUGCUUAUACCAGCGGUGCCCUGUCCUAUCUUGAGUCUUGAGGUCAGCGGGAAAGCAGCUGCAUACCUGAACAAUGACUCACCCCCAAAGUCAUUUUAAGGACACCCUGGCCACGUAUUUGUUAUGGAAACCAGGGAAAAGUCUGUGGUUUCAAUAGGGGCAUAUCCUCAGAAGAGUCAGAGUCUCCAAUAUGUCAUUACAAAUAAUGAAAAAUUUCUUUUGUUUUUUGGGGAAGUGGGGAGAUGGUAGUUGACCUUUUAAAGGUGUUUUUCAUUAUUACUUUUUGGACGUCAUACAUUUAUACGGUACAAAUAUUAGAACAGUAUAAAAAGUAUAUUCCCAUUCAGUUGAUUUUCCGUUCCCUUCGGUGACGUUUUUUUCAGUUUCUUUUUUUUUAGAUUUUAUUUAUUUAUUCAUGAGAGACACACAGAGAGGCAGAGACACAGGCAGAGGGAGAAGCAGGCUCCAUGCGGGGAGCCCGAUGUGGGACUCGAUCCCCAGACCCAGGAUCACGCCUUGGGCUAAAGGCAGACACUCAAUUGACUGAGCCACCCAGGCGCCCCUCAAGUCUUCUUUCUAAUACAGUAUUCUUAAACUUUUAGAAUUGUUAUAAGAAUAAUACAUAUUUAUUUAAGAUAAACCAAGCAAUAUAGAGUGACCUGAAUGAAAAAGGAAAAGUUCCCCCAACCUCCAACUCAUUUUCCAGAGGUAGCCACUCUCAACAGUUUUAUGUGAGCAGUUCCAGAUGUUUCCUAACAGUGUAUUAGUGGCAAGAGCUACUUGUUAAAUUCUUCAGAAAUUUGAGAGCUGGUGGUUAAACACAGCCACCAUUCAGUAUUAAAUUAUACAAACUUACAAUGAAAUUAUAUGAAAAGUAAAAGUAAUAACCAACUCAUCACCACUUAAUUAUUCUACAUUGUGUUGCUAUCUAUGCUCUCCUGGUUAAUCGUGUCGACUGUGUCUAUCUGUGGUGGAAAUACCAUAAGGUGGUGGCUACCAGUCAUGUCCUCUCAACGACUCCUGAGUACUUUAUGCCUCUAUCGACAAAGACUGUGAAAGAGAAUUCAUCAAAAUGAAUCAAGAAUUUAAAUUAGGAAAUGUAAAGAUGCAACUAAAAUGUCACCGUGAUUAUUUUUAAUUUUAUUUAUUGUUAUUUUUAUUUAUUUUUAUUUUUUAAAUUUAAAGCAAACAGGCAUUAUAAUAAAUGACAUGGCUUAGUUAGAAAAAAACCUUGGCUAACUCUCAUGGAUAUACAAAUAUCCCCCCCACCUCCUUCUUUUUAUCCAAAACCCAAGUAGACAAGAUCUGUCCUCCCUCAUCUUGGGAAGUAUCCUCGCUUACCCACCUGCCACUUUUUUGGUUGGCAUUCCAGCGUCUCCCCUUGUCCCGAAUUUUCCUGCUUCUCUUCACUCUUCUUUUUUCCUCUGGUUCUGCUUCGUUUACCUGUCCCUUCGAGACCGGUUUGUCCAAAAAGUGAAUCUUGACCUUACGCUCUUUCUCAUCUAUACCCUUUCUUUCCCCAAGGCUUUAGUUAGUUUCUCUACCCUGGUAACCCUCUGUCUCCCUUGGUCUCCAUCUGGCUAGAUAUCUCCACAUGAUUAUUGUUCGAAGUCAUCCUGUCUACAAAACUUGUCCUCCCAAGUCAGUCAGGGGCAUGAUUAUUGUUCAAGUCACACGACAAGUCAACUUUUGCGCCUUGUUCCUUAUGACUCCCAUCCAGUAUUUAGUAGUGCAGAGGAUCUAAUCCAAAUGCUCUCCUCUACAAACCUCCAGCUCUGUCCCUGGCUA